rnacentral:misc_RNA from 1 species
CAAUGUUUCGCCGGGCUCUUCUUUCCAUUGCAAGGAGCCUGGUUGGUUUAGGGUGUGCUUCGCCAAUAUGGACGAUCAAACUGUGGAAGCUGCACUGAAAAGGAUACGAGCAUUUGUGUGUAAGGGAAAGGAAGAUCAUCAGGAAAUGCCAACCAAGAAUAAACAGCGAUGGCAAAGAAAUCUCCGCCUCAGUUUCUCAGCUCGAAGAUUCGAAGAGGGAGUCAAGUCACCCCAUGUGAUGUCUCCUCACUCCCCAAUUCCUCACUCGCCGUUAGUUCGUGCUAAGUAAAAGGCAUGCAUAUCCUAGCGCCUACACCCAGUUCAGAAUCCAAUAUACAAACAAGUUAUUCAUAUCCCAUCACAUAUAUUAUAUCGAUACAUCGGGACUUAGGGAAGAAAAAUUACUAUAUCCUGCCAAUAUGGUUAAUUUAAUAAGGAGAAACAAUUAGAUAAUGACCAUCUAAU